GACGAACGCUGGCGGCGUGCUUAACACAUGCAAGUCGAACGGAAAGGCCCUGCUUUUGUGGGGUGCUCGAGUGGCGAACGGGUGAGUAACACGUGAGUAACCUGCCCUUGACUUUGGGAUAACUUCAGGAAACUGGGGCUAAUACCGGAUAGGAGCUCCUGCUGCAUGGUGGGGGUUGGAAAGUUUCGGCGGUUGGGGAUGGACUCGCGGCUUAUCAGCUUGUUGGUGGGGUAGUGGCUUACCAAGGCUUUGACGGGUAGCCGGCCUGAGAGGGUGACCGGCCACAUUGGGACUGAGAUACGGCCCAGACUCCUACGGGAGGCAGCAGUGGAGAAUAUUGCACAAUGGGCGGAAGCCUGAUGCAGCAACGCCGCGUGCGGGAUGACGGCCUUCGGGUUGUAAACCGCUUUCGCCUGUGACGAAGCGUGAGUGACGGUAAUGGGUAAAGAAGCACCGGCUAACCACGUG
rnacentral:rRNA from 1 species